rnacentral:rRNA from 1 species
GCAUAAUCACUUGCCUUUUAAUUGGAGGAUAGAAUGAAAGGAAACACGAAAUUUUUUCUAUAUUAUCUUUACCAAAUAAAAAUUACCCUUCAGGUGAAGAUCCCUGAAUAAACUUGAAAGACAAGAAGACCCUGUAGAGUUUUAGUAAAAACAUUUACUAAAUGACCUACACUUUUGUUGGGGCGACAAAGGAUUCAUAAACAUCCUACUACUCUUACGACUUUAUCCCUCCCAUCGCUGAUCCUUAAUUUAAAGAUAGAGAGAAUAAACUACCUCAGGGAUAACAGGCUAAUCUUUUUCCAGAGUUCACAUCUAAAAAAAGUUUGGCACCUCGAUGUUGGCUUAGAGACUCUUCUUACUGCAAAAGGUAAUAAAUGAUAGUUCGUUCAACUAAUAAUUCUCU